rnacentral:rRNA from 1 species
GCAACGCGAAGAACCUUACCAACUCUUGACAUCCCAUUGACCGCUUGAGAGAUCAAGUUUUCCCUUCGGGGACAAUGGUGACAGGUGGUGCAUGGUUGUCGUCAGCUCGUGUCGUGAGAUGUUGGGUUAAGUCCCGCAACGAGCGCAACCCCUAUCCUUAGUUGCCAGCAUUCAGUUGGGCACUCUAGGGAGACUGCCGGUGACAAACCGGAGGAAGGUGGGGAUGACGUCAAAUCAUCAUGCCCCUUAUGAGUUGGGCUACACACGUGCUACAAUGGACGGUACAAAGGGCAGCGAGACCGCGAGGUGGAGCCAAUCCCAUAAAGCCGUUCCCAGUUCGGAUUGCAGGCUGCAACUCGCCUGCAUGAAGUCGGAAUCGCUAGUAAUCGCAGGUCAGCAUACUGCGGUGAAUACGUUCCCGGGUCUUGUACACACCGCCCGUCACACCACGAGAGUUUGCAACACCCGAAGCCGGUGAGUAACCNACAAGGAGCCAGCCGUCGAAGUGGGUAGUNUUGG